rnacentral:rRNA from 1 species
CCAACCUGCCGUCUACUCUUGGCCAGCCUUCUGAAAGGAAGAUUAAUCCAGAUGGCAUCAUGAUCCUGUCCGCAUGAUUAAAGGUUUCCGGUAACAUGGGGAUGCGUCAUUAAUAUAGCGGGGUAACGGCCACCUAUCACGAUGGAUAGGGGUUCUGAGAGGAAGGUCCCCCACAUUGGAACUGAGACACGGUCCAAACUCCUACGGGAGGCAGCAGUGAGGAAUAUUGGUCAAUGGGCGAUGGCCUGAACCAGCCAAGUAGCGUGAAGGAUGACUGCCCUAUGGGUUGUAAACUUCUUUUAUAAAGGAAUAAAGUCGGGUAUGCAUACCCGUUUGCAUGUACUUUAUGAAUAAGGAUCGGCUAACUCCGUGCCAGCAGCCGCGGUAAUACGGAGGAUCCGAGCGUUAUCCGGAUUUAUUGGGUUUAAAGGGAGGUAGAUGGAUGUUUAAGUCAGUUGUGAAAGUU